AUGUACAUGGCAGGCAUGCAGUGCUUGAAAAUCGAUCUCUCUUUGCCAUUGGGACAGAUCAGUACAGUUUGGAUCCAAACCAGAUCUAACCUCCUCAGGAAUUCAGGAUGUUGUUCAGAUGCAGAGUUCUGGUUCAGCCCACUAGAAAGGCUGGAGCAGGACACUGGCCCCUUACAGACCCCAGAUGUGGGGCUGUUUGGCUCCUCUGAGGUGGGGCAGGCCCAGCUCCACUUUUCAAGAUGGUAUAUAGGAGCUAUUGUGAAGGAUAAUAAUGUUGUCUCCACUUUUUUCUUAUUUCUCAGAGAGCCAAGGGGGCUGCUGCUGCCACUGCAGGGCCCUGAGAACCCAAGAACAGACAGACAGGCAGAACUGAGGAGCCAGCCCAGAAAUAUUCCAUGGAGCUGGGACCAUGCAUCCCUGUGGACUAUUAAAUUAGAAUUGAUUCCUGGCCUCUGAUGGAUUUUCAGUCAUUCUUCUCCAUUCAGCCAGGCAGGAAGGGGGAACAUAGACACUGCCCUCUUGUUACUCUUGGUCUCGGUGCUGGCAGCAGGGUCCCAAUCUCCCAGCAGAGAAGCAUCCAAGGAGCAGCCUGACACAGAGCUCCUAAAAUGCCCCAGCUCAUGUGCCUGCAGCUAUGAUGACUACAGCGAGGAACUCAACAUCUUCUGCAGCUCCCGGAACCUCACGCACCUCCCAGAAGACAUUCCCAGCAACGUUAAGUCAUUAUGGCUGGAUGGGAACA
rnacentral:lncRNA from 1 species